AUUGAUAUCUUAAGUGGUGUGCGAAUUUUGUUGAUACUGAUUCACAGAAUAGUUGUUUUAUCCUUUCAUGAGUGUUUGUAUUAAGUGGGCAACUAACAAUCGAAAGGAAUUGAUUCAGUAUACGAGUAAAAUUGGACGUCACACUUGAAGAAAAAGUUAAUACCUUGUUUUGCUAAUCCAUUCGUUUGAGAUUUACCUGAGCCAAACCUUUAUUAAUUAUGGUCCACGUUAUCUGGGAAAACUAGAGUGAUCAAACCCCAAUAGGGUUUCUAUCAUGUAGCAGCUUGAUGCAUGCG
rnacentral:misc_RNA from 1 species